rnacentral:lncRNA from 1 species
CGCACACCCGAGUGUAUGGCCGCACACCCAUCCUCCAGCCGCACACUCAUCCCUAUUUAUAUAGGGUGACCCCUUCACUCAUUCCUUUCAUUUGGUUGGACCAUGCAUGAUGGUUUUUUUCGUCAUCCGACAUGUAACACACUUGCCCACUGUGUUGGUUACAUCCCUAACAUCUUUAGCCCAGAAGAAAUGUUCUUAAAGCACCUUCAAAGUUUUGGUAAUGGAAAAAUGACCCGCCAAACCACCACCAUGAGCUUCACGAAUAAGCAACUCCCGUAUUGCAUGUUUAGGGACACAAAUGUGAUUGCCUUUUGAUGCCUUUAUGGGCUUGAUUAAGUGAGUAGGGCCGUGUUUAGGUAAAUUAAGCUACAAUAACAACCAAAAAUGAUAGGUGUAUGGGAAGAAAUGGAUCGAUUAGUAACAAAUCAAGACCUACUAUGUUGUAUACUUGUGAAAACUAUCCAAGACAUAAUAUUUCUCUGAAUGCGUAUCAAGUCAAGAACAUGUCUCGACUAUGACAAAUAAUGAACUAUAACUAUAAUUCAAACUGAACAAAGGUUCUUUUGAUUAAAAUUUCGUCUAUCUCUUUUUUCCAUGCAUAAUUUGGCUUAUAUGAAGCCUUUAUUACAAAGUUGGUGGUUACAAGCCACCCAACCAACUACUCAGUUAAACUAAUAAUGAAAAUUAAAGAAACUCAUGAAACUACACAAAAAAACGUCUAAAAAACUAAUGAAUGAAAAAAGCAUCCACGUUCCAUUAAGGAGAAAAAAAGAAGCAAUAAAGUGUAACCCAAAUCCACUAAAGAGUAUCAAUAAGGGAUACAAGGCUUGAUGAAGAAAAAAGUAACGGUUUUGAGCACUUAUGAAGCCUUUAAAAUGUUGCACUAGCGUUCACGCGACCUUAAUUCAAUACGUAGGUUACCAUGCACAACCCAACCAUUAAGUACAAACCACCUUCUAGCCUACUAGUAAUCACUAAUCCAUCACCUUUUUCGGCUUUUCAUGAUCCAUCCAUGGAUCCUCCCCUCCCCCUUUGAAAGGAAAUGACCUUAAUUCAUCAAGUCCAUACUCAACAAGAUACGGUGAAAGGUCUCCCACAUUAAAGGUAGCAUGCACUCCAUGGUCUCCUCCCAGAUCCACCUUAUAAGCAUUAUCAUUGACAUGUGUCACCACUUUGUAAGGACCUUCAGCUCUUGGCAUCAACUUUUGUUCUUCCUUUUGUUAGGAAAACGUUCUUUCCUCAUAUGCACCUAAACCAGGUCACUAUCUUGAAAGACAUGUGGUGUCCUAUGCAUGUUGGAAUUCUGUUAGUACACGUCAUUCACGGCUUCAAUCUUCACAAACUUGUUGGCGUAGUUUCACCAUUGCCUUCAACUUGUCAUUAGCAUCCUUGUGAACCAAUUUAUCGUUUUGAAAUGGAAUCAAAUACAAAGGCUUGUAAGGAUUCACACCAUACACCACUUACAAAGGCUUGUAAGGACCUUCAGCUCUUGGCAUCAACUUUUGUUCUUCCUUUUGUUAGGAAAACGUUAUUUCCUCAUGUGCACCUAAACCAAGUCACCAUUUUGAAAGACACGUGGUUUCCUAUGUAUGUUGGAAUUCUAUUUGUACACGUCAUUCACGGCUUCAAUCUUCAGACGAACUUGUUGGUGUAGUUUCAACAUGGCCUUCAACUUGUCAUUAGCAUCCUUGUGAACCAAUUCAUCGUUUGGAAAUGGAAUCAAAUACAAUGGAUUGUAAGGAUUCACACCAUACACCACUUAUAAAGGAGUGACCUAUAGCAUAAGUAGGAGAAUGAUUACUCGUAAACUCAGCAUGUGUAAGUUUGAUGUCCAACUGUUUUUGAGUUUUGCUAACCAACCCCCUCAACAACGUACCCAAAGUUCUAUUAGUCACCUUCGUUUGCCCAUCAGUUUGUGGUUGAUGGGACGUACUAAAAAGUAACUUAGUACCAACUUUCCUCCACAAAGUGUUCCAAAUUUAACUCAAAAACAAGGUUUCCCUAUCAGAAACAAUAGUUUUAGGAAUAAUAUGCAAGCGAACCACUUCUUUAAAGUACAAAUCAGACACAUUAGAUAAAUCAUUGGUUUUAUGACAUGGCAUAAAGUGAGCCAUUUUUAAAAACCUAUCCACCACCACUAUAAUGGAUUCCUUUCCCCCUUUGAAUUCUAGGCAAAGCCAUACUGAAUUCCAUUGACACAUCAUGCCAAGGACGAAUAGGAACCGACAAAGGAGUGUAAACACCAUGCAUGAUGGUUUUUUUCGUCAUCCGACAUGUAACACACUUGCCCACUAUGUUGGUUACAUCCCUAACAUCUUUAGGCCAGAAGAAAUGUUCUUAAAGCACCUUCAAAGUUUUGGUAAUGGAAAAAUGACCCGCCAAACCACCACCAUGAGCUUCACGAAUCAGCAACUCCCGUAUUGCAUGUUUAGGGACACAAAUGUGAUUGCCUUUUGAUGCCUUUAUGGGCUUGAUUAAGUGAGUAGGGCCGUGUUUAGGUAAAUUAAGCUACAAUAACAACCACAAAUGAUAGGUGUAUGGGAAGAAAUGGAUCGAUUAGUAACAAAUCAAGACCUACUAUGUUGUAUACUUGUGAAAACUAUCCAAGACAUAAUAUUUCUCUGAAUGCGUAUCAAGUCAAGAACAUGUCUCGACUAUGACAAAUAAUGAACUAUAACUAUAAUUCAAACUGAACAAAGGUUCUUUUGAUUAAAAUUUCGUCUAUCUCUUUUUUCCAUGCAUAAUUUGGCUUAUAUGAAGCCUUUAUUACAAAGUUGGUGGUUACAAGCCACCCAACCAACUACUCAGUUAAACUAAUAAUGAAAAUUAAAGAAACUCAUGAAACCACACAAAAAAACGUCUGAAACACUAAUGAAUGAAAAAAGCAUCCAUGUUCCAUUAAGGAGAAAAAAGAGGCAAUAAAGUGUAACCCAAAUCCACUAAAGAGUAUCAAUAAGGGAUACAAGGCUUGAUGAAGAAAAAAGUAACGGUUUUGAGCACUUAUGAAGCCUUUAAAAUGUUGCCCUAGCGUUCACGCGACCUUAAUUCAAUACGUAGGUUACCAUGCACAACCCAACCAUUAAGUACAAACCACCUUCUAGCCUACUAGUAAUCACUAAUCCAUCACCUUUUUCGGCUUUUCAUGAUCCAUCCAUGGAUCCUCCCCUCCCCCUUUGAAAGGAAAUGACCUUAAUUCAUCAAGUCCAUACUCAACAAGAUACGGUGAAAGGUCUCCCACAUUAAAGGUAGCAUGCACUCCAUGGUCUCCUCCCAGAUCCACCUUAUAAGCAUUAUCAUUGACAUGUGUCACCACUUUGUAAGGACCUUCAGCUCUUGGCAUCAACUUUUGUUCUUCCUUUUGUUAGGAAAACGUUCUUUCCUCAUAUGCACCUAAACCAGGUCACUAUCUUGAAAGACAUGUGGUGUCCUAUGCAUGUUGGAAUUCUGUUAGUACACGUCAUUCACGGCUUCAAUCUUCACAAACUUGUUGGCGUAGUUUCACCAUUGCCUUCAACUUGUCAUUAGCAUCCUUGUGAACCAAUUUAUCGUUUUGAAAUGGAAUCAAAUACAAAGGCUUGUAAGGAUUCACACCAUACACCACUUACAAAGGCUUGUAAGGACCUUCAGCUCUUGGCAUCAACUUUUGUUCUUCCUUUUGUUAGGAAAACGUUAUUUCCUCAUGUGCACCUAAACCAAGUCACCAUUUUGAAAGACACGUGGUUUCCUAUGUAUGUUGGAAUUCUAUUUGUACACGUCAUUCACGGCUUCAAUCUUCAGACGAACUUGUUGGUGUAGUUUCAACAUGGCCUUCAACUUGUCAUUAGCAUCCUUGUGAACCAAUUCAUCGUUUGGAAAUGGAAUCAAAUACAAUGGAUUGUAAGGAUUCACACCAUACACCACUUAUAAAGGAGUGACCUAUAGCAUAAGUAGGAGAAUGAUUACUCGUAAACUCAGCAUGUGUAAGUUUGAUGUCCAACUGUUUUUGAGUUUUGCUAACCAACCCCCUCAACAACGUACCCAAAGUUCUAUUAGUCACCUUCGUUUGCCCAUCAGUUUGUGGUUGAUGGGACGUACUAAAAAGUAACUUAGUACCAACUUUCCUCCACAAAGUGUUCCAAAUUUAACUCAAAAACAAGGAAUCCCUAUCAGAAACAAUAGUUUUAGGAAUAAUAUGCAAGCGAACCACUUCUUUAAAGUACAAAUCAGACACAUUAGAUAAAUCAUUGGUUUUAUGACAUGGCAUAAAGUGAGCCAUUUUUAAAAACCUAUCCACCACCACUAUAAUGGAUUCCUUUCCCCCUUUGAAUUCUAGGCAAAGCCAUACUGAAUUCCAUUGACACAUCAUGCCAAGGACGAAUAGGAACCGACAAAGGAGUGUAAACACCAUGCAUGAUGGUUUUUUUCGUCAUCCGACAUGUAACACACUUGCCCACUAUGUUGGUUACAUCCCUAACAUCUUUAGGCCAGAAGAAAUGUUCUUAAAGCACCUUCAAAGUUUUGGUAAUGGAAAAAUGACCCGCCAAACCACCACCAUGAGCUUCACGAAUCAGCAACUCCCGUAUUGCAUGUUUAGGGACACAAAUGUGAUUGCC